GACGAACGCUGGCGGCGUGCUUAACACAUGCAAGUCGAACGGAAAGGCCCUGCUUUUGUGGGGUGCUCGAGUGGCGAACGGGUGAGUAACACGUGAGUAACCUGCCCUUGACUUUGGGAUAACUUCAGGAAACUGGGGCUAAUACCGGAUAGGAGCUCCUGCUGCAUGGUGGGGGUUGGAAAGUUUCGGCGGUGGGGGAUGGACUCGGGGCUGAUCGGCUUGUUGGUGGGGGAGGGGCUUACCACGGCCUUGGCGGGUAGCCGGCCUGGGAGGGUGGCCGGCCACGUUGGGACUGGGGUACGGCCCAGACUCCGACGGGAGGCAGCAGUGGGGAAUAUUGCACAAUGGGCGGAAGCCUGAUGCAGCAACGCCGCGUGCGGGAUGACGGCCUUCGGGUUGUAAACCGCUUUCGCCUGUGACGAAGCGUGAGUGACGGUAAUGGGUAAAGAAGCACCGGCUAACUACGUG
rnacentral:rRNA from 1 species